rnacentral:misc_RNA from 1 species
GAUGAAGAACGUAGCGAAAUGCGAUAAGUAAUGUGAAUUGCAGAAUUCAGUGAAUCAUCGAAUCUUUGAACGCACAUUGCGCCCGCCAGUAUUCUGGCGGGCAUGCCUGUUCGAGCGUCAUUACAACCCUCAGGCCCCCGGGCCUGGCGUUGGGGAUCGGCGGAAGCCCCCUGCGGGCACAACGCCGUCCCCCAAAUACAGUGGCGGUCCCGCCGCAGCUUCCAUUGCGUAGUAGCUAACACCUCGCAACUGGAGAGCGGCGCGGCCACGCCGUAAAACACCCAACUUCUGAAUGUUGACCUCGAAUCAGGUAGGAAUACCCGCUGAACUUAAGCAUAUCAAUAAGCGGUGGA